ensembl:lncRNA
GUGAGGAAGGUAGCUCUGAAGUCUUGGGAUCGACUCCCUGCUGGUUGUAGAGAACUGGUGUGCUGUGGAUUGACAACCUAGGGGACCCAGAGCACAAAUUACAUCUGAGUCUCCUCAGAAGGAAGUGGUCUAGAAACAUGGUUAAUAACACAGCCUUUGGAGUGAUAUAGUCUGGAGCUCAGAUGCUAUUUCUUCUACUUACUGUGCUGUUUUGAACUUGUUGUUCUCUGUUAGCCUCAAUUCCCUCAUCCGUAAAAAAGAUGAUAAUAGCCAUGUUGACAGAGCACUUACUAUGUGUCAGGCACUUCCCUAAGUACUGGACAUGAACUUACUCAUUUACUUGUCAUGAUGGCUUUCUGAAAUUAGUAACAUUAUUAUUCCCAUUUUACAGAGAGGCAACUGAGAUGUAGGGGGAAAUUUUCACAGAGAUAUUAAGCAGGGCAAAUGGGAUUCAAAUGCAGGCUGCCUUGUCUCUGGAGCCUGUCUCUUAACCUGCCUGACCUUGUAGGAUUUCUGUAAAGUUCAAAGUUAAGUCAUGUAUGGAAAGUGUUCAGUGCAGUAUUGCACCCACAGGGAGUCUUUGCAAGUGGUAAUGGUGAGUGGUGAUAACGCAGGUGUGAAGAAAGUAACUGACAACACGGCGUCAGUCAGGCUCUCCUGCCCCACUCUCUCACAGCCUCAUAACUUCUUCUGUUUUGUAAACAGUGAUAUUGCUGACCUUGGUAGCACUGCGCCUGUGCGCCCACUUGGCCAUGGGCCACUUUUGUCUGCCUUAGUAUAUCAGAAGUCUUUGAAGACUCCCAGUUGCUGCUGCCCAGAGAGAGUAAACAUGUCUGCAGUCCCCACAGCUCCUUGAGUCUUCUUUCAUUUUCCUGGGUCGCACCUUAUCUACCCUGGGAUCAGUGAACAGUGUGACCGGCAAGACAGCAGGAGUACCAGGUGGAUCUGUGGCCACUGAGGGGCCCUGAUUGGAGUAGCGAACUUCCUGUUAUCUCUGGCUGUCUGGUUGGGUCUCCUGUAUGCCUUAGGGCUGUAAUUGUCUCUUGUCAUCUCUGUUCAUAGGAUCCGUAGGGGAUCUGACCUUCCCUAAAGAUGAGCCAGCUCUAAAUGCACCUGGGGUGUGAAAUCUGAGAAAUUAUGAAAAAAGGCAGCACCAUGAAAUCACCCAGGAUUCAGGAAAUCCUGGGCCUAUUUGUAUCCCUCAGCCUAUGUGACCAUGGGUAAGGGUUCUGCUACCUUGAUUUCAGUUUCCCCAUUCACGAGAGAAGGAGGUCGAAUCUCAAGUUUCCUCUCACCUCCAUGAGGAAAAAUGGUAUCCAAGAAUGCUAUAGAGUCCCGGGGAACUUCUCUUUCUGACCGUGGCUGUCCAUCUCACUGGAGAAUUUGGCCUUUAGGUAUUUGGUCCUACCAUCCCUCUCCUCAUGGAAGUCACAAUCGUCUUUUGAAACAGAAGACAGAUCAUAACCUAUCCUUCCUUAAAAAUCCUCCCACGGCAUCCCACAGGAUUUAGGAUACAAUUUGAACUUGAGCCUCACCAUAGCCUUCAAGGUCCUGCAUGAUCCAGCCUCUGCACACCUCUCCAACCUGCUCUUGAGCCAGCUCAUCUGUGAUCUGGCUCACUGCCCUUCUAUCUGGCAUGCAAGCAAGCUAAGCCUGUGCUUUUCUCAGAGCCUGUGUACCUGCUGGUCCUGCUGCCUGCAGACCACCCUCAUUUCUGAAGUGGGAAUGUUCCCAUCUAGUCGCUCUGCUUCACUUCUCCUUGUUUGAUGAUCUUCAGAGUAUUUCUCACCUUCUGAAAUUGUCUCCUUUGUUCAUUUGUUUAAUGUCUGUCUUCCCCUCAAUGUUAGCUUCAUGAGAGAGGACUCUCAUCUCUCUAACCCACCACUGAAUGCCCAGCACCUGGCAAAAUAUCUGGCUGCUAACAGGUGCCCCAUCUAGUUAACCUUUGAAUAACAUGGGUUUGACUUCCUGGGUCCAUGCACCCACAAUUUUUUUCCUAUAGUAUUACACAAUCUUCAGUUGGUGGAGUGAAUAUGGAAGAACCACAUGUAUGGAGGGCCAGCUAUAAGUUAUAUGCAAAUUUUCUACUGCACCCCUAACUCCCACACUGUCUGAGGGUCAACUGUAUGUAUUUUUGAAUGACUAACAGAAUUAAUGGGCCCAAUACUCGGCUGCUGUAUUUGUCUGCUAUGAUAUUACUGGUCUAGUUUUUCUUUUUUGUAUUCUAACUAAACUUCGGAGGAAGUAUUAGUUGACCAACCAAAUAAGAGUCAGUGCUAUGAGGGUGAUGGAAAUCUGGCUAAGACUGAGUGAAUCAGGUUAGAACAGGUAUUUAGGAUGCAGGAGACUAUGAUACAAAAGUGAAUCUUUCAUCC